rnacentral:misc_RNA from 1 species
GAAAAAUCUGUAGUUUGAAACAACUAUAUUAACUUAUUCCUAAUCAUAAUAAGGCUGAAAUUAACAGUGCCUUUGCCAAGCUAUGUGGAGUUGAUUUCACAUUUCUUAUUUGCAAAUUUUCAUGAUCUAGGCUCAUAGUUUCUCUUAAGCUGAAGUCUUUCCGUAUUUUGUGGCUUGGAUCCAUAAGCUUAUUGGCCUUUAUUUAUCCUUGCAACUUCAUUAGCGUAGUGUAGUGAAGAUUUGAAG